UGGACAGAUUAUUGUAUUUGGCUGUAUUCACGGCGUGAAACAGGGGAUUACACUGUUUUUAAAUGAAAAGUGAAUCAAUUAACAUAAUAGACUCCU
rnacentral:pre_miRNA from 1 species